AAAAGUUACCACAGGGAUAACUGGCUUGUGGCAGCCAAGAGUUCAUAUCGACGUUGC
rnacentral:rRNA from 1 species